CAGCGCUCUUAUACGGCGAGGUGGAGGGAGGAAAUGACAUCAUCUUGGGACAAGAGGCUAUCAUCGUUCCUCGUGAGCUUACCUCGGAGUUCUCAUUGCAUGGCAAUUUCUGGAGAGAACAGAGAAAGUGGGUCAGCUACAGCCUGAAGAUCCAUGGAGCAAACAUGGAACUAAAUCACAUGCUGCUCGAAAAGACAAGAGUUGUCUGAAGAGAUCUCUGACGUCAACAAGCUUCUGGUAUAAUCCAAAAACCAGUUGAAGCUUGUCUCUCGGUUGCAUCUGAGUGGUUUUGGAAAAGAGCGGCUGAGAUCAUCUGUAAGACUAGAGAAAACCCUCAAUAAAUUGAAAUUUGUGCACUUAAUCUU